rnacentral:rRNA from 1 species
AGAGUUUGAUCCUGGCUCAGGAUGAACGCUGGCGGCGUGCCUAAUACAUGCAAGUCGAACGCUUCACUUCGGUGAAGAGUGGCGAACGGGUGAGUAAUACAUAAGUAACCUGGCAUCUACAGGGGGAUAACUGAUGGAAACGUCAGCUAAGACCGCAUAGGUGUAGAGAUCGCAUGAACUCUAUAUGAAAAGUGCUACGGGACUGGUAGAUGAUGGACUUAUGGCGCAUUAGCUUGUUGGCAGGGUAACGGCCUACCAAGGCGACGAUGCGUAGCCGACCUGAGAGGGUGACCGGCCACACUGGGACUGAGACACGGCCCAGACUCCUACGGGAGGCAGCAGUAGGGAAUUUUCGGCAAUGGGCGAAAGCCUGACCGAGCAAUGCCGCGUGAAUGAAGAAAUUCUUCGGAAUGUAAAAUUCUGUGGUGAGGGAAGAAAGGUAUUAGAAGGAAAUGGCUAAUAUUUGACGGUACCUUACUAGAAAGCCCCGGCUAACUAUGUGCCAGCAGCCGCGGUAAUACAUAGGGGGCAAGCGUUAUCCGGAAUUAUUGGGCGUAAAGCGUGCGUAGGCGGCCACUUAAGUCUGUCGUGAAAGCCCACAGCUUAACUGUGGAGGGUCGAUGGAAACUGAGAGGCUUGAAUCUAGGAGAGGUAAGUGGAAUUCCAUGUGUAGCGGUAAAAUGCUUAGAUAUAUGGAGGAACACCAGUGGCGAAGGCGGCUUACUGGUCUAGAAUUGACGCUGAUGCACGAAAGCGUGGGUAGCAAACAGGAUUAGAUACCCUGGUAGUCCACGCCGUAAACGAUGAGCACUAAGUGUCGGACGUAAGUUCGGUGCUGAAGUUAACGCAUUAAGUGCUCCGCCUGGGGAGUACGGUCGCAAGACUGAAACUCAAAGGAAUUGACGGGGACUCGCACAAGCGGUGGAGCAUGUGGUUUAAUUCGACGCAACGCGAAAAACCUUACCAGGCCUUGACAUACCGAUGACGUCUUUAGAGAUAGAGAGUUACCUUCGGGUACAUCGGAUACAGGUGGUGCAUGGUUGUCGUCAGCUCGUGUCGUGAGAUGUUGGGUUAAGUCCC